UACGUAGGGCGCAAGCGUUGUCCGGCAUUACUGGGCGUACAGGGCGUGUAGGCGGCCAACUAAGUCCGACGUGAAAUCCCCAGGCUUAACCUGGGAACUGCGUCGGAUACUGGAUGGCUUGAAUCCGGGAGAGGGAUGCAGAAUUCCAGGUGUAGCGGUGAAAUGCGUAGAUAUCUGGAGGAAUACCGGUGGCGAAGGCGGCAUCCUGGACCGGCAUUGACGCUGAAGCGCGAAAGCUAGGGGAGCAAACGGG
rnacentral:rRNA from 1 species